AGAGUUUGAUCCUGGCUCAGGACGAACGCUGGCGGCGUGCCUAAUACAUGCAAGUCGAACGCACUCUCGUUUAGAUUGAAGGAGCUUGCUCCUGAUUGAUAAACAUUUGAGUGAGUGGCGGACGGGUGAGUAACACGUGGGUAACCUGCCCUAAAGUGGGGGAUAACAUUUGGAAACAGAUGCUAAUACCGCAUAAAACCUAACACCGCAUGGUGUAGGGUUGAAAGAUGGUUUCGGCUAUCACUUUAGGAUGGACCCGCGGUGCAUUAGUUAGUUGGUGAGGUAAAGGCUCACCAAGACCGUGAUGCAUAGCCGACCUGAGAGGGUAAUCGGCCACACUGGGACUGAGACACGGCCCAAACUCCUACGGGAGGCAGCAGUGGGGAAUAUUGCACAAUGGACGCAAGUCUGAUGGAGCAACGCCGCGUGAGUGAAGAAGGCUUUCGGGUCGUAAAACUCUGUUGUUGGAGAAGAAUGGUCGGCAGAGUAACUGUUGUCGGCGUGACGGUAUCCAACCAGAAAGCCACGGCUAACUACGUGCCAGCAGCCGCGGUAAUACGUAGGUGGCAAGCGUUGUCCGGAAUUAUUGGGCGUAAAGCGCGCGCAGGCGGAUUCGUCAGUCUGUCUUAAAAGUUCGGGGCUUAACCCCGUGACUGCAUUUGAAACUGGCAGGCUUGAGUCUCGUAGAGGGGGGUAGAAUUCCAGGUGUAGCGGUGAAAUGCGUAGAGAUCUGGAGGAAUACCGGUGGCGAAGGCGGCCCCCUGGACGAAGACUGACGCUCAGGUGCGAAAGCGUGGGGAGCAAACAGGAUUAGAUACCCUGGUAGUCCACGCCGUAAACGAUGUCGACUUGGAGGUUGUGCCCUUGAGGCGUGGCUUCCGGAGCUAACGCGUUAAGUCGACCGCCUGGGGAGUACGGCCGCAAGGCUAAAACUCAAAGAAAUUGACGGGGGCCCGCACAAGCGGCGGAGCAUGCGGAUUAAUUCGAUGCAACGCGAAGAACCUUACCUGGUCUUGACAUCCACGGAAGUUUUCAGAGAUGAGAAUGUGCCUUCGGGAACCGUGAGACAGGUGCUGCAUGGCUGUCGUCAGCUCGUGCCGUGAAAUGUUGGGUUAAGUCCCGCAACGAGCGCAACCCUUAUCCUUUGUUGCCAGCGGUCCGGCCGGGAACUCAAAGGAGACUGCCAGUGAUAAACUGGAGGAAGGUGGGGAUGACGUCAAGUCAUCAUGGCCCUUACGACCAGGGCUACACACGUGCUACAAUGGCGCAUACAAAGAGAAGCGACCUCGCGAGAGCAAGCGGACCUCAUAAGGUGCGUCGUAGUCCGGAUUGGAGUCUGCAACUCGACUCCAUGAAGUCGGAAUCGCUAGUAAUCGUGGAUCAGAAUGCCACGGUGAAUACGUUCCCGGGCCUUGCACUCACCGCCCGUCA
rnacentral:rRNA from 1 species